CGGGUGAGUAACACGUGGGUAACCGUGCCCAUCAGAAGGGGAUAACACUUGGAAACAGGUGCUAAUACCGUAUAACAAUCGAAACCGCAUGGUUUCGGUUUGAAAGGCGCUUUUGCGUCACUGAUGGAUGGACCCGCGGUGCAUUAGCUAGUUGGUGAGGUAACGGCUCACCAAGGCAACGAUGCAUAGCCGACCUGAGAGGGUGAUCGGCCACAUUGGGACUGAGACACGGCCCAA
rnacentral:rRNA from 1 species